rnacentral:lncRNA from 1 species
UAACUCUGCAGUGGGAUGACUUUCUUCUCAUGUGCAUUGAAAUGGGGAGAAGGAGUGCAAUCCUGAGAGUCUGGAGGCUUAAAAAUGUGGGCUGAGCAGUCUGAGUGCCAGACUCAGAGGCCCAUUGGGCAUCUGUCCUCCAAGCUCCCUGCUGUGAUUUUGUUCCCUUUUUAUCUGCCCCUUGCCUGCCCUGGGGUGGCUGUUCCCUGCUCGCCGACAGACCCAAGGGAGGGUGAUGCUGAGAUGCAUCAUAUCCCCGAGGACUGCAGUAAUAGUAAUGGAGAAGGAAACAGACGAAAAUAUAAUGGUGCAGCUCUCCUCCCUGCUAGCUGCUUGCGUUACUUUGCUCUGCAGGUGCAGGAGAAGCCUAGAAGGGACCUGACAGGAAUUGUGGUUUCCUUGGGAAAGACUGAGGAGCCUCUCUGGUUGUCCCUCAGUCCUGUUACAGAGCAGAAUUGCAGCAAUGGCACAGUAUAGUCCUUCUGUCGAUUUGUUGUCUCCUACCAAAUGUGGCUAUUUGAGACACCUAAACUCGUCGAGAAUGGAGAUGUACAUACUGGCCUGCCUGGUUAAUGCUGACAUACUAGCAAAGGGAAGGAAUACUGUGGAAGGAUGGAGGUCUUAGAGAAGCUAUGCUCAAAGAAGAUCAGGAGUGUGAAGGCAUGGAACAGGAUAAAUACAGCAAGAAGGCAGUUUGCUGCGGAGUUCAAGACUUUAUUUUUUCUGCUACUUUGUUGUUCUGGCCCGUCCCUGUGCUUUGGGGCAUCUCACCUUCUGCCAUCAGCUAAGAAUUGAUCUGCAGUGUUGAGCCAGAGAACCACAAAACCUUAGUUACCAGCUGUGGUUUGAGGAUGGUAAUUUGGACUUCCACAUUUAGUGCUGAGACACAUUGGCUGGGAAAGUAGAGGAGCUGCUGAGCCUGUUAAGAGACCCACAGGGGAGAAAGUGCUCAAUGAGAUAGUUUGAGAGCUGUAAGUUGUUUUGGCAACCCCUAUUAGACAUGGCCCCUUUAUUACUUCAGUAGCUAUAGAGGAGUGCAAUUUGCUUUUAAUUACUGUAUUAGCAAAUGUAUCAGUAGGGAAACUGAAAAAAAAAAAAAAAGUUGCUGAAUUUCUUUCAGAACUGUUCUUUGCGACUCUAGGAAGGAAAAAAUAUUUGGACAGAAAGAAAUUAUGCUCUAAUGAGCCCCAAACAGACACUGAUUCAGAGACUGAGAGGAAAAUAGCUAUUCUAGAUAGCAGAGUGCUGGCCUCUAGCAUACUCCUGCAAAGUGGAAAUAAUAGCCUCUUUCCAUUGUAAUUUUAAAAUUGUACCUCAGUGCUGCUUCUCUGAUGUUUUGUGAUAGAUGCCAAGACUGGAGACUGCUCUGCUCCAAGUGUGAGUCAGAUAAUAAAGCAAUUUCUGAGCUGUAGCA